rnacentral:misc_RNA from 1 species
AGAAUUGAUGUUACUUCCUGCAAAGAGCAGCUAACGUUGAUGUUCUUCCUUGCAUAAAUUUAGAAAUGGUGGCACCCACAAAUGAUUUGGCACCACAUGGAGUUACACAAUAAAGCAAUUAAAAUUUUAAAUAUAUGUGCCACAGGUUCCUUCCAGCAUAUAUGCGCAACUCCCACUAUUCAGCAACAUCAUCCCAUAAAUUAUCAUGCCUAUCUACAACAUUGUUUGUAUCUGGCCUUUGCACUUUCAGUACCCUCACAUUAUUGGAUGAGUUUAUCGCAUGCAGUUAUGUAGCUUAGCACAUUGCAUUGUUGCAACUUGCCAGUGCAUAGCCCUCAAAAGAGAAAAAAGAUAUUCAGAGGGAGAGAAAGAGAGAGAGAAACAGAGAGAGAG